CUCCUGCGGCCGCCUUGGGGUGCUUGGCGGCCUUGCGGGCCCCCUGCCCCUGCUGCACGAGGUGGAGGAGCUGCAAGGAUCCAAGUGUCUGCAGCUGAAGGGCAGCUCCUCCGGGAACGAGAGGGACGGAUCCCCGCUCCGGAACAAUGUCAGGCAGUGGACUUCCAGAGCACGCUUCGCCUCCGGUUAAUCCAGCCGCUGGAUAAAAUCCGUCUUGCUUUCAGCGCUUAUUUCCCCCCUUAGCAAUAAAGCAGCGAGCCGCCAACCCAAGGCAAAGAA